UACGUAGGGUGCAGGCGUUAAUCGGAAUUACUGGGCGUAAAGCGUGCGCAGGCGGUGAUGCAAGACAGAGGUGAAAUCCCCGGGCUCAACCUGGGAACUGCCUUUGUGACUGCAUGACUAGAGUACGGUAGAGGGGGAUGGAAUUCCGCGUGUAGCAGUGAAAUGCGUAGAUAUGCGGAGGAACACCGAUGGCGAAGGCAAUCCCCUGGACCUGUACUGACGCUCAUGCACGAAAGCGUGGGGAGCAAACAGG
rnacentral:rRNA from 1 species